rnacentral:rRNA from 1 species
AACGUAGGAGGCGAGCGUUAUCCGGAUUUACUGGGCGUAAAGCGCGUGUAGGCGGCACGGCAAGUUGGAUGUGAAAGCUCCCGGCUUAACUGGGAGAGGUCGUUCAAAACUGCCGAGCUAGAGUGCGGGAGAGGGAGGUGGAAUUCCGGGUGUAGUGGUGAAAUGCGUAGAUAUCCGGAGGAACACCAGUGGCGAAAGCGGCCUCCUGGUCCGCAACUGACGCUCAGACGCGAAAGCUAGGGUAGCAAACGGGAUUAGAGACCCCGGUAGUCCUAGCUGUAAACGAUGUAGACUUGGCGUUGGUGGGUUCAAAUCCAUCAGUGCCGGAGCAAACGCGUUAAGUCUACCGCCUGGGGACUACGGCCGCAAGGUUAAA